rnacentral:lncRNA from 1 species
AUAUAUAUAUAUAUAUAUAUAGAGAGAGAGAGAGAGAAUUAUGCUACUAUACUAUCAAUAGUACCAAGCCCUUGGUACUAUUGAGUUUUCGGCCGUUGGAUGAAUAGAUGAGCGGUUAGGAUGAUAGUGGUCCCCGAUUAAAUUGAUAGUGGUCCCCUAGAGUUGAGUGGGUGGUUGGUUUAAUAGUAUAAUCUAACGGGUAGAAAUAAUCAAAGGGUAGAUCGAACGGUAGAAAACUCAAUAGUAUCAAGGGCUUGGUACUAUCGAUAGUAUAGUAGCCGCA